UGGUAAUGCCGGAUGCUCCAUCACACUGCAUGGUGUGUUGGGAAAGCCUUUGCGGCAUGGGAUGGGGUCGCGUCCUAUCAGCUUGAUGGCGGGGUAACGGCCCACCAUGGCUUCGACGGGUAGCCGGCCUGAGAGGGCGACCGGCCACAUUGGGACUGAGAUACGGCCCAGACUCCUACGGGAGGCAGCAGUGGGGAAUAUUGCACAAUGGGCGCAAGCCUGAUGCAGCGACGCCGCGUGAGGGAUGGAGGCCUUCGGGUUGUAAACCUCUUUUGUUAGGGAGCAAGGCAUUUUGUGUUGAGUGUACCUUUCGAAUAAGCACCGGCUAACUACGUGCCAGCAGCCGCGGUAAUACGUAGGGUGCAAGCGUUAUCCGGAAUUAUUGGGCGUAAAGGGCUCGUAGGCGGUUCGUCGCGUCCGGUGUGAAAGUCCAUCGCUUAACGGUGGAUCCGCGCCGGGUACGGGCGGGCUUGAGUGCGGUAGGGGAGACUGGAAUUCCCGGUGUAACGGUGGAAUGUGUAGAUAUCGGAAAAGAACAC
rnacentral:rRNA from 1 species